GACGAACCGUCCAAACGUUAUUCGGAAUCACUGGGCUUAAAGGGCGCGUAGGCGGGCUGUCAAGUCUGGGGUGAAAUGCCGCGGCUCAACCGUGGAACUGCCUCAGAUACUGACGGCCUCGAGGGAGAUAGGGGCGAGCGGAACUGUGAGUGGAGCGGUGAAAUGCGUUGAUAUUCACAGGAACUCCGGUGGCGAAGGCGGCUCGCUGGAUCUUUUCUGACGCUGAGGCGCGAAAGCUAGGGGAGCAAACGGG
rnacentral:rRNA from 1 species